GUUACGUGUUCCAACCAUGGCUUCGGAACCCGUAAUGAAAAGGGAAUCAGGUGAAAAUCCUGAACAGACCCGCUGCUGUAAGCUUCGUUUGACGUGCUGAACAGAAUCCACCUUUUGCCACUAAAGCCGGCAAUCCCGCAAGGGAUGGCACCCGCUUCCCCCAGAAGCAUCAAAAACGGUUUUGGGAAGGCGUUCAGACCACGGAAGUAAGUCAGAAGACCUGCCAAUGUUCCACAUUUUGU
rnacentral:ncRNA from 1 species